CCUUGAGGGGCAUGAGGGU
rnacentral:miRNA from 1 species